rnacentral:rRNA from 1 species
GGCGUCGAGCGGACAGAUGGGAGCUUGCUCCCUGAUGUUAGCGGCGGACAGGUGAGUAACACGUGGGUAACCUGCCUGUAAGACUGGGAUAACUCCGGGAAACCGGGGCUAAUACCGGAUGGUUGUUUGAACCGCAUGGUUCAAACAUAAAAGGUGGCUUCGGCUACCACUUACAGAUGGACCCGCGGCGCAUUAGCUAGUUGGUGAGGUAACGGCUCACCAAGGCGACGAUGCGUAGCCGACCUGAGAGGGUGAUCGGCCACACUGGGACUGAGACACGGCCCAGACUCCUACGGGAGGCAGCAGUAGGGAAUCUUCCGCAAUGGACGAAAGUCUGACGGAGCAACGCCGCGUGAGUGAUGAAGGUUUUCGGAUCGUAAAGCUCUGUUGUUAGGGAAGAACAAGUGCCGUUCGAAUAGGGCGGUACCUUGACGGUACCUAACCAGAAAGCCACGGCUAACUACGUGCCAGCAGCCGCGGUAAUACGUAGGUGGCAAGCGUUGUCCGGAAUUAUUGGGCGUAAAGGGCUCGCAGGCGGUUUCUUAAGUCUGAUGUGAAAGCCCCCGGCUCAACCGGGGAGGGUCAUUGGAAACUGGGGAACUUGAGUGCAGAAGAGGAGAGUGGAAUUCCACGUGUAGCGGUGAAAUGCGUAGAGAUGUGGAGGAACACCAGUGGCGAAGGCGACUCUCUGGUCUGUAACUGACGCUGAGGAGCGAAAGCGUGGGGAGCGAACAGGAUUAGAUACCCUGGUAGUCCACGCCGUAAACGAUGAGUGCUAAGUGUUAGGGGGUUUCCGCCCCUUAGUGCUGCAGCUAACGCAUUAAGCACUCCGCCUGGGGAGUACGGUCGCAAGACUGAAACUCAAAGGAAUUGACGGGGGCCCGCACAAGCGGUGGAGCAUGUGAUUUAAUUCGAAGCAACGCGAAGAACCUUACCAGGUCUUGACAUCCUCUGACAAUCCUAGAGAUAGGACGUCCCCUUCGGGGGCAGAGUGACAGGUGGUGCAUGGUUGUCGUCAGCUCGUGUCGUGAGAUGUUGGGUUAAGUCCCGCAACGAGCGCAACCCUUGAUCUUAGUUGCCAGCAUUCAGUUGGGCACUCUAAGGUGACUGCCGGUGACAAACCGGAGGAAGGUGGGGAUGACGUCAAAUCAUCAUGCCCCUUAUGACCUGGGCUACACACGUGCUACAAUGGACAGAACAAAGGGCAGCGAAACCGCGAGGUUAAGCCAAUCCCACAAAUCUGUUCUCAGUUCGGAUCGCAGUCUGCAACUCGACUGCGUGAAGCUGGAAUCGCUAGUAAUCGCGGAUCAGCAUGCCGCGGUGAAUACGUUCCCGGGCCUUGUACACACCGCCCGUCACACCACGAGAGUUUGUAACACCCGAAGUCGGUGAGGUAACCUUUUAGGAGCCAGCCGCCGAAGGUGGGACAGAUGAUUGGGGUGAAGUCGUAACAAGGUA